UAGGGAAUCUUCCACAAUGGGCGAAAGCCUGAUGGAGCAACGCCGCGUGUGUGAUGAAGGGUUUCGGCUCGUAAAACACUGUUGUAAGAGAAGAAUGACAUUGAGAGUAACUGUUCAGUGUGUGACGGUAUCUUACCAGAAAGGAACGGCUAAAUACGUGCCAC
rnacentral:rRNA from 1 species